GACGAACGUUUGCGGCGUGCUUAACACAUGCAAGUCGAACGGAAAGGCCCUGCUUUUGUGGGGUGCUCGAGUGGCGAACGGGUGAGUAACACGUGAGUAACCUGCCCUUGACUUUGGGAUAACUUCAGGAAACUGGGGCUAAUACCGGAUAGGAGCUCCUGCUGCAUGGUGGGGGUUGGAAAGUUUCGGCGGUUGGGGAUGGACUCGCGGCUUAUCAGCUUGUUGGUGGGGUAGUGGCUUACCAAGGCUUUGACGGGUAGCCGGCCUGAGAGGGUGACCGGCCACAUUGGGACUGAGAUACGGCCCAGACUCCUACGGGAGGCAGCAGUGGGGAAUAUUGCACAAUGGGCGGAAGCCUGAUGCAGCAACGCCGCGUGCGGGAUGACGGCCUUCGGGUUGUAAACCGCUUUCGCCUGUGACGAAGCGUGAGUGACGGUAAUGGGUAAAGAAGCACCGGCUAACUACGUGCCAGCAGCCGCGGUGAUACGUAGGGUGCGAGCGUUGUCCGGAUUUAUUGGGCGUAAAGGGCUCGUAGGUGGUUGAUCGCGUCGGAAGUGUAAUCUUGGGGCUUAACCCUGAGCGUGCUUUCGAUACGGGUUGACUUGAGGAAGGUAGGGGAGAAUGGAAUUCCUGGUGGAGCGGUGGAAUGCGCAGAUAUCAGGAGGAACACCAGUGGCGAAGGCGGUUCUCUGGGCCUUUCCUGACGCUGAGGGGCGAAAGCGUGGGGAGCGAACAGGCUUAGAUACCCUGGUAGUCCACGCUGUAAACGGUGGGUACUAGGUGUGGGGUCCAUUCCACGGGUUCCGUGCCGUAGCUAACGCUUUAAGUACCCCGCCUGGGGAGUACGGCCGCAAGGCUAAAACUCAAAGGAAUUGACGGGGCCCCGCACAAGCGGCGGAGCAUGCGGAUUAAUUCGAUGCAACGCGUAGAACCUUACCUGGGUUUGACAUGGAUCGGGAGUGCUCAGAGAUGGGUGUGCCUCUUUUGGGGUCGGUUCACAGGUGGUGCAUGGCUGUCGUCAGCUCGUGUCGUGAGAUGUUGGGUUAAGUCCCGCAACGAGCGCAACCCUUGUUCACUGUUGCCAGCACGUUAUGGUGGGGACUCAGUGGAGACCGCCGGGGUCAACUCGGAGGAAGGUGGGGAUGACGUCAAGUCAUCAUGCCCCUUAUGUCCAGGGCUUCACGCAUGCUACAAUGGCUGGUACAGAGAGUGGCGAGCCUGUGAGGGUGAGCGAAUCUCGGAAAGCCGGUCUCAGUUCGGAUUGGGGUCUGCAACUCGACCUCAUGAAGUCGGAGUCGCUAGUAAUCGCAAAUCAGCAACGCUGCGGUGAAUACGUUCCCGGG
rnacentral:rRNA from 1 species